AGCAAUCAACCAGAACAGCGUAAAGUAACCUUGCAAACAGAUGAGGGGAGCUGUUACUGGGGCUCACCCUCCUGUCUCCACGGUUCAUAUCCCUAGAUCUGGAGCUCAGGCCCCGUGAGGAACAAGCCUAUGCUUUGUGUAUUGUGCCCGCCGCUGCCGAGGGACAGCUAGCGGGCAUCUCCUCCUCCCCCCACCCCCCCAGCUACAUCAAACUCCCAGAGAAAAGGAGCCUUUGACUCUUGCUGCCUUGGGACCUGGUAGUACCAUUUGAGUGGUAGAGAAAGUGCCAGGCGGGGUGAAUGGGUAACCUCUCGGGCAAGUUCUUCCCAAGAAAGAAUCGGCACAGCCUCUCAGCAAGGCAGGGCCCUUCCUUGUCCGGCCCUGCCUGCAGAGCCAGCCUCGUUUGUCCAGUACUUUCCAGCCCCUGCUCCUCUGGCUCACUGGAGGUCCUCAAACCAGCCACGGUCCUGCCCUUGAAGACAGAUGCGAAGACCAUUUACUCUGCGCACACGUCUUCCUUCUCUCUGGCAAGUCUGUCUACUCACCUAUCAUCCCACAGUCCAAGCUCAAAAGGGACUGCCUCCUAAGGGAGAAAGACCAGGUCAUUUUCUCUUAUUAAAAUGCUUCCCUAAGUAAAAAAAAAA